CCUACGGGAGGCAGCAGUGGGGAAUAUUGGACAAUGGGCGAAAGCCUGAUCCAGCCAUGCCGCGUGUGUGAAGAAGGCCUUCGGGUUGUAAAGCACUUUCAGAGGGGAAGAAAGCCUUGGGGCUAAUACCCUCGAGGAAGGACAUCACCCACAGAAGAAGCACCGGCUAACUCCGUGCCAGCAGCCGCGGUAAUACGGAGGGUGCGAGGCGUUAAUCGGAAUUACUGGGCGUAAAGCGCGCGUAGGCGGUCUGAUAAGCCGGUUGUGAAAGCCCCGGGCUCAACCUGGGAACGGCAUCCGGAACUGGCAGGCUAGAGUGCAGGAGAGGAAGGUAGAAUUCCCGGUGUAGCGGUGAAAUGCGUAGAGAUCGGGAGGAAUACCGGUGGCGAAGGCGGCCUUCUGGACUGACACUGACGCUGAGGUGCGAAAGCGUGGGUAGCAAACAGGAUUAGAUACCCUAGUAGUC
rnacentral:rRNA from 1 species